UGAGGAAUAUUGGACAAUGGGGGAAACCCUGAUCCAGCCAUGCCGCGUGAGUGAAGAAGGCCUUAGGGUUGUAAAGCUCUUUCAAUGGUGAAGAUAAUGACGGUAGCCAUAGAAGAAGCCCCGGCUAAAUUCGUGCCAGCAGCCGCGGUAAUACGAAUGGGGCAAGCGUUGUUCGGAAUCACUGGGCUUAAAGCGUGCGCAGGCGGAUUUGCAAGUCAGAAGUGAAAGCCUUGGGCUCAACCCAAGAAUUGCUUUUGAAACUGCAAAUCUAGAAUCCGGUAGAGGUUGGGAGAAUUCCUAGUGUAGAGGUAAAAUUCGCAGAUAUUAGGAGGAAUACCAGUGGCGAAGGCGCCCAACUGGGCCGGUAUUGACGCUCAUGUACGAAAGCGUGGGGAGCAAA
rnacentral:rRNA from 1 species